rnacentral:rRNA from 1 species
UACUUUCCGCCAGAGAACUACAAGUGAAAAACUUGAAACUCAAAGGACUUGACGGUGUCCCAUAUCGGCCUAGAGGAGCCUGUCCUAUAAUCGAUAAUCCCCGUUCCACCCAACCUCAACUAGCAAAAUAUCAGCCUAUAUACCGCCGUCGACAGUUUACCCUAUGAAGGCCCAAUAGUAAACACAACAGCCUCAUCGCUAACACGUCAGGUCAAGGUGUAGCAAAUGUUGAGGAAGAGAUUGGCUACAUUUUUUAUAAUAAAAAAUACGAAUUGCACUAUGAAACAUUGCAUGAAGGUGAAUUUAGCAGUAAAACAGAUAAGAGUGUCUGUUUUAACAACGCUCUGGGACGCGUACACACCGCCCGUCACCC